rnacentral:lncRNA from 1 species
UCACGGGUCGAUCGUUGGGACUCGACCGUGACACCUUUGGGGGCCAUAUUUGGUAGGCACUUGGGUUGACGAAGUUAUGGAGUUGCGGAGUUGAGGCGUUCCGUCAGGUGGGAGUCGCUGUCAAGUCAACGGAGGCAAUUCCCUAGCAAUGGCCCGUGCCAUGACAUGAAAAUAGGUGCCGCAUGCGGGGUUUGAAAACAUACCCCUCGGUGAGCACCUUUGUACCCCCGGGGUGCCAAAGGGGUGGAUGCCUCGUUGGGUAUAUAAAAGAGGGGUGGACACUUCGUAAGUGGCCCCGACUCCCCCGUCGACCCAUAGGACAUAGGCCGUCCCUUGGCUAGCGGAGUGGCCAAGCCUAGCGUUCUGUGUGACCGGGUAUUGGACGGUUGAAGGGAUACGGGCCUAGGGUAAUGUCGGAGACGCGAGAGGUCGACGACAUUACGGAGCGGGGAAUACCGGGAGGCUUUCCUCCUAAGUUCGCUUGCGCUACCUUAUGCCGGCUUGGAUCUCUGUAGUGGAGCGUACGAGCGGAUGAGGGAUAGUCUAGCGACGGAUGGUCCUUUGUAAAGGACAAGGCUCGCGAAGGCAAGGGUUCCGAGCGGGGAUUCCUGGGGCGCGACGCCCACGAAGGCCUAAAGAGGUGGGACUCAAUAGGAACGCUAAAGGGAGGCACGCCGGGGGAGAAUUCGUAUGACGGGAGGUCUACGAGACUCGAGAGGCGGAACCCAAAGAGGCAAGCGAUAUCAAUAUCCUAUAGUGAACCUUGAUAGACUGGACUAAUGGUGUGAACGGCCAGGCGUGACUGAGCCAAGGAUGGGGCCAGUGGCUAGUGAUGCGGAGUGAGGCCGGUUCGUUUGUAUGGGGCCUUAUAAGGCGAACCAUGGGAGUUAAGGGCGCGGAGCGCCAUGGCGAAGUGAGGGUCGAGUGGACGGUCGAGAAGCACGGUGUGGACUUGUGGGUUCCCUUGCCGGGAGUGUUGGGACACGAGAGCCGUACGGGUUGAAUGCGAAGCACGGAAGUGUGAAGCAUGGGCGUGCGGGGUGUCACGCUAAGUCGCUGGCAUUGGGAGACAGGCGAGCUAUGGUGCACACUUGAGUGGCUUUUCGGAGGUAAGCCGUUGGACCGAGCAAGUAGGCCACGUAGGCGGUAUGGCCAUGGACGUUGUCAGGCGCAUGAGGCACGACGGUGAGAAACUUAUGGUUAUGAGUGCCCUUCGUGGCAUGUGAUGUUGUGAAGCCCGGACGUGGACGCUAGAAGUGUGCGGAUUAAGUCACGGGAGCGAAACGCGUGGGAGGCGAGACGCUUGGCUAGACUCAUAAUGAAACAAGUUGGGGGAGAACUUGUAAUGUCCUUGGGCUGGCGACGAAGGCAGCAAGGCAUUCGGUUACGAAGCACUCUCGAGGAGAGAUCGAUUGGCAAAACAGGAUGCACCUAGCUUGGUGGCCAACCUCGGAUUGGGGUUGCUCGUUGGGAACUCGAGGAGCCCGACGAGGGGUUCAAUUACAGGCGANGAGGGGUCGGGCUGUAAGUCUCGCAGAGGAGCGAGCUUGGCAAAAUGCUUGAAUUGGUAUUCCGCUGUUAAGUUUGGGAGACCGGCACUUAGGUGCCGCGCGGGGAUUUUCAAGGCGAAAAAGCUAACUCGUGACAAGUUGGCGGUCCCUUCGGAUUGGGUCGGUGGUGACUGUUCUUCAGCUAGUGAUGCAUAUGUACACAGAGAGCAUGACAUGAGUAGUAAUAGUGUAGUAGCAUAGUAGCUGUAGAGUUUUUCCAGCUUAUCAUAUUGUUCUUUUACAUACCAGCUAUACUGCUAGUCUCGUAGAUUUAGUGGGUAGGCCGUUGGGGUCGGUGACGGUACCGAUUGAGGACUGCUUUAUUUUACAGUAGUUCUCACACCCAUUUUUGUCACUUUUUCUUACAGAGCCAUCGGUUGCUGCCAAGGAUUUAAGUGCCAUGGCACGGAGUCGUGCCGGAAACUUACCUGCACGAUACGGCACGGUGCAUGCCGAGCCGUGCCGAGUGGUGCCGGUCAAAAAAAUUCUUGUGUGCCAACACAUAAUAGCAUGAAAUAUUUAUUUUCUUUAGCAACAAAAUAUUCUAACUAUUUAUUAUGUCUUUUAAUCAUAUCUUUUGAAUUUUAUUGAGAAAAUUACUUAGUAAUUUAAAGAAUAGAGGAUUUUGAGCUGUGCCAUCAGCACGGGGUCUGUAUCAUGCCGGUAUCUUGUUGGCAUGGUAUGGCACGGUGGAUAUGGCCCAUGCCGACAGACACUUAAAACCUUGGUUGCUGCUGCUAUUUUUGAUCAAGAUAAGGGAGUCGUGAGCUAGAUUCUUGUCUACCCUAGUCGUUGAGCUAGAGGAAUACCAAUUUGGAGACAGUAAUUGUUUAUAGUCAUGUACAUAUAGUAGUAUUUUGUUUCAUCUGUUGAGAGUUGUGAGGCGUUGAUAUUAUGCUUUUGGUUUAUAUUAUACACCUUAGAUUACAUGUAUGUACAGGUGACUAUUUAUUUCUGUUUUAGUAGCUCUAUUACUCUCUAGUAGUAGUUCUUGUAUUGUUUACAGGUGCUUCUAUCGCUUUGUGUACACAGGGUUUCUUGUGUAUGCGGCGGAUCUGUUGGCAAGCCCGAGUAAUGUUGGACCCCAAGGCGUGACAAUCUCUUAAAAACCAGCGAAGGGUAAUUUAAAUGGAUCCACAAAGGAAAUAAGCCAACUAGAAUCUCCACAGGAGAAGAGGUUUGACAAUUAGGGAAAAAAAGGAUGAGCUGGCUAGGGUUUAUUAGAUAAUAAAUAUUGACUAAACCCAAAUAACCAGAUCUAAAUUAGAAUCCAAUAAGAAAGCAUUUACCCAAGUAGGAAUUAAUUGGUCAAUUAUGGGUUAGAAUCAAACCGGACUCAAACCACUUCUCAAAAACACAUCAAAAAUCAUCAAUUAAAAACAAAAUAAUUCCACAAAAAAAUAAAAAUCUUCUCAACUCCCUCCAGCAUCGUCAGAACAACACACCACAACCUAUCUAACAUACAAUAAACAAUACAAAUUAACAUUAAAUUCAUACAUAUAAACUAAAAUCUAAACAAAUUAACAUAAAUAAGGAAUUGCUCAUUUUGUCCUGCACCACUUAGCUUGAAAUAAGGAAUUGCUCAUUUUGUCCUNCUGUAAGUCUCGCGGAGGAGCAAGCUUGGCAAAAUGCUUGGAUUGGUAUUCCGCUGUUAAGUCUGAGAGACUUGUCCGUGGAGAGGACUCGAGAAGGCUGGCUCGGGUGUGCGACACUUGAGCGCCGCGCGGGAAUUUUCAAGGCGAAAAAGCUAACCUCGUGACAAGUGGUAUCAGAGCUAUGUUGAGCUCUUUUGGGAUGGAUGUUUGGCCGAAAAGUGCGACCUUGGCGGCGAAGUUGGAGUGAGCAGAGUUACUCUGACGAAGGUACUUGGAGCCGACAAUGCAUUGGGAUAAUACUUCACUUGUGAGAGAUGCGAAGUUGAGUUAUGUUGGAUAUUGGUGCUACCCACGAAUUCUUUGCGAUAGGUGAAGCCGGGUGGUUCGGACUUACACUAUGCAUGGAUGAAAAUUAGAUAACAGCGAGGAGCUCGGAGGCCCAAACUAUUGCGGGUCUGGCGAGAGAGGUGCCUGUUGGUGUGGACUCGUGGUGGGGUGAAAGCCAAGUUCAUGUCAGUACCCUGCGAGGAUUUCAAAGUCAUUUUCUGGAUGGAGAAAUGGUUAAGACCUUAGUCGUGUGGCAGACGACGGGGCAAUGAUUAUGAAGAAUCAGUUAGCAGUCCGUGGUUGGGGUUGCCGCAGAAGUUAGGUAUUGCGAAUGCCCGCGGAACCUGAGUUGUGCAGAGGUGCUUACAGCUUAGGGUGGGGGAGUACAUAAGGUAUUAAUGUAUUCCUGAAUGUGAAUCCUUGACGAUGGUGCUUCUCGAAAGGAUAUGGAUUGGGCGGUGAAAGACUGGGCGAAAGAGUUUACUUCGUGAAAGCUGAGUUUGAAGUCUAACGGGCAGUAGCCUUCGUUGGGAGCAGCUUCGACCAAAGUUGCGGGAAUACCAAAGGGGUACUCGAUGGACCAGUACUUCUCUCUUGGUAAAGGAAGAUCGAUAGGGAGAUCGAUGACUCUUUGGAGUGUGCCCAUGAUAUGGAAAGAGAAGGCAUCCUUGUGCGAGAGAAGGGAUUGAGGUUGGAACCUUAACUCGCGGAGUGAGGUGAUAAGGCUAGCUUCGAGCUGAGCGAUGACAGCGUUGGUGGCUCGAGGUAGCAUACAUGUAUCUAUUGGAUGGAUGAUAUGGGUUCCGCUUGAGGGAUUAGUGAAGGUUGUGGCAGAGCCGGAGCUAGCAGAGCGGAAUAUGGGGCAUUGGGAAUGCCGAUGAGGUCUGAGUGCGCUUGGUUAUGGGAGCGACUCAGAGUGGGGGAGCACGUUUGUUCAUUAAGUGCUCCCAUGCGCAAUGACUCGGUGAAGGAGCUCGUCGAUGACAAGAAGUGGGAUACAACACAUGUGGUAAAAGAGUUCGCUUCGUGGAGCUCAAGUUGGAAGUCUAGGCAGACGAAUCCAUGGUAGUAAUAGCUAGGCUUUGGACAAGGUUGUGAAGGGGACCAGGGAUUGCGAAAGAGCUUAGCAUUUCUCUUGGUGCGAGAAAGGCCGAUGUGGAGAUCGGUUGCUCUUUACAAUGUGGCCACGAGUUGGACGGAUAAGGCAUCCUUAGUCGGGUUGUGCGGUGUGUGGAUUCACCCGGGAUCAUGGUGCUGGUUGGAGUAUGGAUAGUUCGCAACUGCGGGAAAGGUCGAGGUAUCGAAGUUCUGUAAGGGCGGUGCGCGCAGGGUAGCGGCAUUGCCGUGGCAGUCAGGCUUGCGGUUCAGACUAAGCAGAGAGUGAACUGAGUUCCGUUCAGCGAUCAAUCAUGAGGGUGGUUUUCCUAGAGUGGGGAUAUGGCAAGUUGCGAGCGAACAGAGACAGGGCGUCCGGUAGGCUCGAACUUGGCCGAAGACUUUGAUUGCGAAUCGAAGUGAAAUUCCGCAAGAGCCUAAUGAAGAGGGGCUUGAGCGAGUUGUGGGACAAAGGCUAAAGGUGCCGUGCAUCAACAAGUAGUCGAAAUGCAAAGCAGUCAAGAGGCAUGACAAGAGUCCGUGGUAAAGUUAGUAAAGUGGAAGUAAUCGAGGCAAAGUUGUUUCGAUGAAAGACUCGAAGGCUUGGGGAGACCAUGGGGAGAGCUCAACGUUGUGCAAUUGUGGAGGCAUUGGGGUGGCAAAAGUUGUUUGCAGAGAAGGCGCAGGAAUGGCACUAGUACCCACAAGAGUUGUACCUAUAAGAUUCAAUAAGAUGAAAAUCUCUAAUACAAUGGAAGCGGGAGUUCGAGUGGAGGAGCUCGUCGAACACUUUGAAGCGGGAGUUCGAGUGGAGGGACUCGCCGUAUAAGACUAGGAGCAUCGGAUUGAGGAUCUGUCGGCAAUGCUUAGGGGAGGCAUGAAGUCUGAUAUUAUCAAGGUAUGUUGAGGGGCAAAGGCGAAGACGAGUAGCGGGCUGAUUCGCGUAUAGGGCUCCAAGACGAGGGGCGUUUGGAGUCUAACCCCAAGUCCAAGGUCGAUGGAUAUAUGACCUUGAAUCCCAGAGAGGGAAAGUUAGUCGGAGGACUAUUUCCAUGAGAUGGAGUUAAAAGGUUGGCUACUGGACUCGAGGAACUUUGGUUAAGUCAGAGCGAAGUGGGCGUGGAGGCCGAGUAGCUCCAAUGGAGAGAACCAAGUAUGGAGGGGUGUCAGUAGAACCUUGCAAUCUGAGGGAUUAGCAGUAUUAAAUUCUGGUUCCGUGAAGGAGUUAGUGUGGUGCGAGCAAGGCACCAAGGCUAGGGAGCUCUAACUCAGGGAGGGACAGAAUAUGUGUAUGAGAUGUUUGGUCGAGGAGGACCAAUGGACUUUGAAGAAGCGUUGUUGAGCAGACGAACUCGAUGGCAGGUCAGUGUGGCAUGUGAUGCCAAGGCCGUGGGUGGCUCUGGUCUGGAAGAGUAGUAUUACUAGUAACGGAGUUUGAAGAAGUGGUGGAGCAUCGACGAGGACGUCGAUGGUUCAAGUGGGGGAGCUUGUCACGGGUCAAUCGCUGGGACUCGACCGUGAUACCUUUGGGGGCCAUAUUUGGUAGGCACUUGGGUUGACGAAGUUAUGGAGUUGCGGAGUUGAGGCGUUCCGUCAGGUGGGAGUCGCUGUUAAGUCAACGGAGGCAAUUCCCUAGCAAUGGCCCGUGCCAUGACAUGAAAAUAGGUGCCGCAUGCGGGGUUUGAAAACGUACCCCUCGGUGAGCACCUUUGUACCCCCGGGGUGC